AUUGAACGCUGGCGGCAGGCCUAACACAUGCAAGUCGAACGAGUGGCGGACGGGUGAGUAAUGUCUGGGAAACUGCCUGAUGGAGGGGGAUAAAUACUGGAAACGGUCGCUAAUACCGCAUACCCUCAGAUAUGCCCAGAUGGGAUUAGCUUGUUGGUGGGGUAACGGCUCACCAAGGCGACGCUCCCUAGCUGGUCUGAGAGGAGGACCAGCCACACUGGAACUGAGAAACGGCCCAGACUCCUAGGGGAGGCAGCAGUGGGGAAUAUUGCACAAUGGGCGCAAGCCGGAUGCAGCCAUGCCGCGUGUAUGAAGAAGGCCUUCGGGUUGUAAAGUACUUUCAGCGGGGAGGCGUUACCCGCAGAAGAAGCACCGGCUAACUCCGUGCCAGCCGCCGCGGUAAUAC
rnacentral:rRNA from 1 species